rnacentral:rRNA from 1 species
UGGGGAAUUUUGGACAAUGGGCGCAAGCCUGAUCCAGCAAUGCCGCGUGCAGGAUGAAGGCCUUCGGGUUGUAAACUGCUUUUGUCAGGGAAGAAACGAGUUUCUCUAAUACAGAGACUUAAUGACGGUACCUGAAGAAUAAGCACCGGCUAACUACGUGCCAGCAGCCGCGGUAAUACGUAGGGUGCAAGCGUUAAUCGGAAUUACUGGGCGUAAAGCGUGCGCAGGCGGUUAUGCAAGACAGAUGUGAAAUCCCCGGGCUCAACCUGGGAACUGCAUUUGUGACUGCAUAGCUGGAGUGCGGCAGAGGGGGAUGGAAUUCCGCGUGUAGCAGUGAAAUGGGUAGAUAUGCGGAGGAACACCGAUGGCGAAGGCAAUCCCCUGGACCUGUACUGACGCUCAUGCACGAAAGCGUGGGGAGCAAACA